rnacentral:rRNA from 9 species
GCUGCGAAGCAAUCGGAAGUGGUUCCAAGAAAAGCCUCUAAGCUUCAGUCAUACGAGACCGUACCGCAAACCGACACAGGUGGGCGAGAUGAGUAUUCUAAGGCGCUUGAGAGAACUCGGGAGAAGGAACUCGGCAAAUUGGUACCGUAACUUCGGGAAAAGGUACGCCCCGGU